rnacentral:rRNA from 1 species
UACGUAGGGUGCGAGCGUUGCCCGGAUUUAUUGGGCGUAAAGGGCGCGUAGGCGGUCACGCACGUCCGUUGUGAAAUCGCUCGGCUCAACUGGGCGGGGUCAGCGGAUACGGUGUGACUGGAGCAAGCUAGGGGGCAAUGGAAUUCCCGGUGUAGUGGUGGAAUGCGUAGAUAUCAGGAAGAACACCAGUGGCGAAGGCGGCGACCUGGUCCGUGACUGACGCUGAGGCGCGAAAGCGUGGGGAGCAAACAGG